rnacentral:rRNA from 1 species
AUUGAACGCUGGCGGCAUGCCUUACACAUGCAAGUCGAACGGCAGCACGGGAGCAAUCCUGGUGGCGAGUGGCGAACGGGUGAGUAAUAUAUCGGAACGUGCCCAGUCGUGGGGGAUAACGCAGCGAAAGCUGUGCUAAUACCGCAUACGAUCUACGGAUGAAAGCGGGGGAUCGCAGGACCUCGCGCGAUUGGAGCGGCCGAUAUCAGAUUAGCUAGUUGGUGUGGUAAAGGCUCACCAAGGCGACGAUCUGUAGCUGGUCUGAGAGGACGACCAGCCACACUGGAACUGAGACACGGUCCAGACUCCUACGGGAGGCAGCAGUGGGGAAUUUUGGACAAUGGGCGAAAGCCUGAUCCAGCAAUGCCGCGUGCAGGAUGAAGGCCUUCGGGUUGUAAACUGCUUUUGUACGGAACGAAACGGUGAGCUCUAAUACAGUUUGCUAAUGACGGUACCGUAAGAAUAAGCACCGGCUAACUACGUGCCAGCCGCCGCCGUAA